UACGGAAGGCAGCAGUGGGGAAUAUUGCACAAUGGGCGAAAGCCUGAUGCAGCUAUGCCGCGUGUAUGAAGAAGGCCUUAGGGUUGUAAAGUACUUUCAUCGGGGAGGAAAAACAAAACUAAUAAUUUUAUUUCUUGACGUUACCCGAAAAAGAAGCACCGGCUAACUCCGUGCCAGCAGCCGCGGUAAUACGGAGGGUGCUAGCGUUAAUCAGAAUUACUGGGCGUAAAGAGCACGUAGGUGGUUUUUUAGUCAGAUGUGAAAUCCCUGGGCUUAACCUAGGAACUGCAUUUUGAAACUGAAAUACUAGAGUAUCGUAGAGGGAGGUAGAAUUCUAGGUGUAGCGGUGAAAUGCGUAGAUAUCUGGAGGAAUACCUGUGGCGAAAGCGGCCUCCUAAACGAAUACUGACACUGAGGUGCGAAAGCGUGGGGAGCAAACAGGGAUUAGAUACC
rnacentral:rRNA from 1 species